GUCUAAGUUCACACCCUCGCACGGUGAAACCGCGAAUGGCUCAUUAAAUCAGUCGAGGUUCCUUAGAUGAUCCAUUUCUACUUGGAUAACUGUGGCAAUUCUAGAGCUAAUACAUGCGGACCAGCUCCGACCCGGUGUCGCAGCCGGGGAAGAGCGCUUUUAUUAGUUCAAAACCAGUCGGCGGGUCCGUCCUUCGCGGGGCGCGGCCCGUCGUCCCCUUUUGGUGACUCUGGAUAACUUUGUGCCGAUCGCAUGGCCUCGCGCCGGCGACGCAUCUUUCAAAUGUCUGCCCUAUCAAAUGUCGAUGGUACGCGAUAGGCCUACCAUGUUGGCUACGGGUAACGGGGAAUCGGGGUUCGAUUCCGGAGAGGGAGCAUGAGAAA
rnacentral:rRNA from 1 species